ensembl:lncRNA
CUCUAGUUGGAGAUCCUUCCCUUGUGAUGUUUUCCUCGUGAGCCUAACUCUUCUGAGACAGUGAAACCUCUGUAAAUCUACCCUUGGGUCCUGUUUCUUCCUUGGUCACAGCGCAUCCCAAGUCAUCUCUGUGACAGACCUUCCUUAAUGGGGAAAUCUCCAGCUGCAAAUUGAAGGAUGAAUACUGUGCCUCUACUGGAUUCCAUCUGGAUGUCAUGUUCUCCUGAAAAUCAAUAGUUUUGUACUAAAAGAUCAACCACAAACCAAACCCAAGGAAUAUUAUCUGGCAAAUGCUCCUUUGAAGGUGCCUGCUUAAAACAUUUAGCAUAUGCUUCAAAAUCCUUUGCUGUGCAGAUUUUCCUUAGUCUUGGGUGAAUAUGCCUUUUAAUUCACAGCCAACAUUCUUACUGCAGAAACCAGCUCAUCUGCGUUUUGGACCUCUGACUUCUGCUGCAACUAUUCAAUCUGUCUUUCUGUUUCUGCAUUACUAUCCAACCAUGAUCAAACCUGACGCUGGGUUUAUGUUUUUGAGGAAGUUACAGGCCAGAAUUACCUGCCUAAACCAAAGCAGAAGGGAGUAAGGAGAGAGGCACAGGAAUAGGAAGACAGCUGUGCAGCUGGGCAGGUGACAGCAGCACUGAGACUGAAGGGAUGUCACAGUGUCUUCCCCUGACUGAGGGCAGGUCCACUCUCUGACUCAGAUCGUAUUUCCAUGGAUGUGGUUUUUUGUAAUGUUUGCUGCUGUGAGAGCUGUCUUCAAAGUGCAGAUGAGUUUCACCCAUGCUGCCAGCGUGGCUUUAUCCUCAGCUCCCUUUGAAUUACAUGCUUGUCACUCUGAUAAUAAUUUUCUGGCCUCUGAAUCACAACAUUAAAGCAACUCUGUCUGCUUGGACUCUUAAUGUUAAUAUCAUCUAUACUUAGCUUCUACUAUAAGCCUAAAUAAAGUAAGAUAUAACAAUCAUUAACACACUUUUCCAUUAGCAGCAUAAUUAAUCCUACAAAUACCUGGUAUAAAACUUGAUUUAUUCAAGACAAGUUCAAUGUAUGAAUAAACAGGAUCUGGAUUUACGUCACAUUAC